rnacentral:rRNA from 1 species
CCUACGGGUGGCAGCAGUAGGGAAUAUUGCUCAAUGGGGGAAACCCUGAAGCAGCAACGCCGCGUGGAGGAUGAAGGUUUUAGGAUUGUAACCUCCUUUUGUUAGAGAAGAUUAUGACGGUAUCUAACGAAUAAGCACCGGCUAACUCCGUGCCAGCAGCCGCGGUAAUACGGAGGGUGAAAGCGUUACUCGGAAUAACUGGGCGUAAAGAGUGCGUAGGCGGGGUAAUACGUGAGAUGUGAAGUCCUGUAGCUUAACUACAGAACUGCAUUUGAAACUUUUAAUCUGGAGUGUGGGAUGGGUAGGUGGAAUUCUUGGUGUAGGGGUAAAAUCCGUAGAGAUCAAGAGGAAUACUCAUUGCGAAGGCGAGCUGCUGGAACAUUACUGACGCUGAUGCACGAAAGCGUGGGGAGCAAACAGGAUUAGAUACCCGGGUAGUC